rnacentral:rRNA from 1 species
AGAGUUUGAUCAUGGCUCAGGACGAACGCUGGCGGCGUGCCUAACACAUGCAAGUCGAGCGGGGAACUUCGGUUCCCAGCGGCGGACGGGUGAGUAACACGUGGGUAACCUGCCUUGUAGAGGGGGAUAGCCUUCCGAAAGGAAGAUUAAUACCGCAUAACAUUAUGCUUUCGCAUGAGAGUAUAAUCAAAGGAGCAAUCCGCUACAAGAUGGACCCGCGGCGCAUUAGCUAGUUGGUGAGGUAACGGCUCACCAAGGCGACGAUGCGUAGCCGGCCUGAGAGGGUGAACGGCCACAUUGGAACUGAGACACGGUCCAGACUCCUACGGGAGGCAGCAGUGGGGAAUAUUGCACAAUGGGCGAAAGCCUGAUGCAGCAACGCCGCGUGAGUGAUGAAGGCCUUCGGGUUGUAAAGCUCUGUCUUCUGGGACGAUAAUGACGGUACCAGAGGAGGAAGCCACGGCUAACUACGUGCCAGCAGCCGCGGUAAUACGUAGGUGGCAAGCGUUGUCCGGAUUUACUGGGCGUAAAGGAUGCGUAGGCGGAUGCUUAAGUCAGAUGUGAAAAUCCCGGGCUUAACUUGGGAACUGCAUUUGAAACUGGGUAUCUAGAGUGCGGGAGAGGAGAGUGGAAUUCCUAGUGUAGCGGUGAAAUGCGUAGAGAUUAGGAAGAACACCAGUGGCGAAGGCGACUCUCUGGACCGUAACUGACGCUGAGGCAUGAAAGCGUGGGGAGCAAACAGGAUUAGAUACCCUGGUAGUCCACGCCGUAAACUAUGAAUACUAGGUGUGGGAGUUGUCAUGACUUCCGUGCCGCAGUUAACACAAUAAGUAUUCCGCCUGGGGAGUACGGUCGCAAGAUUAAAACUCAAAGGAAUUGACGG